AGAGUUGAUUAUGGCUCAGAACGAACGCUGGCGGCAUGGAUUAGGCAUGCAAGUCGAACGGGAGCAGCAAUGCUCCAGUGGCGCAAGGGUGAGGAACACGUGAACAACCUGCCUUCGAGUUGGGGAUAGCUUCUGGAAACGGGAGAUAAUACCGAAUAGCAUCAUUUGGUCGCAUGGCCGAAUGAUCAAAGCAGCAAUGCGCUUGAAGAGGGGUUCGCGUCCCAUUAGCUAGUUGGUGAGGUAACGGCCCACCAAGGCGAUGAUGGGUAGCUGGUCUGAGAGGACGACCAGCCACAUUGGGACUGAGAUACUGCCCAGACUCCUACGGGAGGCUGCAGUCGAGAAUUUUGGGCAAUGGACGAAAGUCUGACCCAGCCAAUGCCGCGUGCGGGAUGAAGGUCUUCGGAUUGUAAACCGCUGUCAAGAGGGACGAAAUAUGACGGUACCUCUGGAGGAAGCCACGGCUAACUACGUGCCAGCAGCAGC
rnacentral:rRNA from 1 species